GGGGAAUAUUGCACAAUGGGGGAAACCCUGAUGCAGCAACGCCGCGUGAAGGAAGACGGUCUUCGGAUUGUAAACUUCUAUCGAUAGGGACGAAAAAAAUGACGGUACCUAAAUAAGAAGCCCCGGCUAACUACGUGCCAGCAGCCGCGGUAAUACGUAGGGGGCAAGCGUUAUCCGGAAUUACUGGGCGUAAAGAGUGCGUAGGUGGCUUUGCAAGCGUAGGGUAUAAGGCGACAGCCCAACUGUCGUUGGCACCGCGAACUGUAAGGCUUGAGUACAGGAGGGGAAGGCGGAAUUCCUAGUGUAGCGGUGAAAUGCGUAGAUAUUAGGAGGAACACCAGUGGCGAAGGCGGCCUUCUGGACUGUAACUGACACUGAGGCACGAAAGCGUGGGUAGCAAAC
rnacentral:rRNA from 1 species